rnacentral:rRNA from 1 species
GAUGAACGCUGGCGGCGUGCCUAACACAUGCAAGUCGAACGUGAAGGCCUAGAUGAUUACUUCGGUUUGAUUCUUGGUUGGAAAGUGGCGAACGGGUGAGUAACACGUGGGUAAUCUGCCUCGAAGUGGGGGAUAACUAUUGGAAACGAUAGCUAAUACCGCAUAGUCUUGUUUACAUGGGAAUGUAGAUGAGUAAAGCUCCGGCGCUUCGAGAGGAGCCUGCGUCCAAUUAGCUAGUUGGUGGGGUAAAGGCCCACCAAGGCGACGAUUGGUAGCUGGUCUGAGAGGACGAUCAGUCACACGGGAACUGAGACACGGUCCCGACUCCUACGGGGGGCAGCAGUGAGGAAUAUUGCACAAUGGGGGCAACCCUGAUGCAGCAACGCCGCGUGGAGGAUGAAGGCUUCGGUCGUAAACUCCUUUUCUGGGGGAAGAGAACGGACGGUACCCCAGGAAUAAGUCACGGCUAACUACG